rnacentral:misc_RNA from 1 species
AAGACUAUAGACCUGCGGAGUACCUGCGGAGGGAUCAUUAAUGAAUUUUAGGACGUUCUUUUUAGAAGUCCGACCAUUUCAUUUUCUUACACUGUGCACACACUUCUUUUUACACACACUUUUAACACAUUAGUAUAAGAAUGUAAUAGUCUCUUAAUUGAGCAUAAACAAAAAUAAAACUUUUAACAACGGAUCUCU